GAUGAACGCUGGCGGCGUGCCUAAUACAUGCAAGUCGAGCGAACAGACGAGGAGCUUGCUCCUCUGACGUUAGCGGCGGACGGGUGAGUAAAACGUGGAUAACCUACCUAUAAGACUGGGAUAACUUCGGGAAACCGGAGCUAAUACCGGAUAAUAUAUUGAACCGCAUGGUUCAAUAGUGAAAGACGGUUUUGCUGUCACUUAUAGAUGGAUCCGCGCCGCAUUAGCUAGUUGGUAAGGUAACGGCUUACCAAGGCAACGAUGCGUAGCCGACCUGAGAGGGUGAUCGGCCACACUGGAACUGAGACACGGUCCAGACUCCUACGGGAGGCAGCAGUAGGGAAUCUUCCGCAAUGGGCGAAAGCUUGACGGAGCAACGCCGCGUGAGUGAUGAAGGUCUUCGGAUCGUAAAACUCUGUUGUUAGGGAAGAACAAAUGUGUAAGUAACUAUGCACGUCUUGACGGUACCUAAUCAGAAAGCCACGGCUAACUACGUG
rnacentral:rRNA from 1 species